rnacentral:pre_miRNA from 2 species
AAAUGUAGUAUACUAUAAGUGUACCUUCCACAUCAACAGUAUACUAAGUACACUACGUUUUC